CGACCCUCGGGACCGCUCCUCGCAAGGGGAGGCCCGGUCCCGGCGUUGGGCCAGCGAGCAGCGCCCUCUGUUGGCGAGCCCGCGGCCCGUAGACCAGCGGCGGCAGCGCCAGCGACGUCCCCUGCGCAGUAGCAUUACAACGCAUCGGACUCGUGGCGAGGCCCGCCUCGAACCCAUCUCUUUA
rnacentral:misc_RNA from 1 species